rnacentral:rRNA from 1 species
AUUGAACGCUGGCGGCAGGCUUGACACAUGCAAGUCGAGCGGAGAUGAGGUGCUUGCACCUUAUCUUAGCGGCGGACGGGUGAGUAAUGCUUAGGAAUCUGCCUAUUAGUGGGGGACAACAUUCCGAAAGGAAUGCUAAUACCGCAUGCGUCCUACGGGAGAAAGCAGGGGAUCUUCGGACCUUGCGCUAAUAGAUGAGCCUAAGUCGGAUUAGCUAGUUGGUGGGGUAAAGGCCUACCAAGGCGACGAUCUGUAGCGGGUCUGAGAGGAUGAUCCGCCACACUGGGACUGAGACACGGCCCAGACUCCUACGGGAGGCAGCAGUGGGGAAUAUUGGACAAUGGGGGGAACCCUGAUCCAGCCAUGCCGCGUGUGUGAAGAAGGCCUUAUGGUUGUAAAGCACUUUAAGCGAGGAGGAGGCUACUGAGACUAAUACUCUUGGAUAGUGGACGUUACUCGCAGAAUAAGCACCGGCUAACUCUGUGCCAGCAGCCGCCGUAAUAC